GGUCCAGCUACUUUGAAAUCUCAUCUCAUGCCAUGCUUUUAGUUCCCCACUACACACAAGGAAGAAUCUGUGGGUGGAUGGUAAGACUUAAUCCUGACCAAGACAAACAGAGAUGCAAUUACGAACCGACAACCUGUGCUCCAUUUCUAACAGUGCUGGGAGGGAGAACAGCCAUGCUGAGGCUGAGAAUGAAAUCCACUUUCCUGCCUCAUAUUCUUUGCAAGCCAGCACCCCAGAUGAGAGGAGAGCAAUGA
rnacentral:lncRNA from 1 species